AUCGAUAGAUUUUCUUGAUGAUCUCCCCGUUUCGCUGACCAAAAAUCUACCCAGCAGAAUUAAUGUCAUCUCAAAGCAAGGAAAAUCCAAUGUUUUUGUCGAAAAAAUAGAAGUUACGACCCUAAAUUCUGAUUGCCACUCGGUCAUAAAAUUUGUUGAAAUUAGAAACCCCAAUAAUUCCAAAGGUAAUCAACCUAUUAAUAUUUCUUCACGAACACAAGAUGAAAGAAAUGUUGGUUCAGAUACAUUGAAAAUGGGAGAUACUAAACGUCCAAGGAAAGACUCCCAUAUUCUUCAGGGUAAAAGGAAGUAAAUUUAAGGUUAGGGCUAAUUCUUGUGAAUCGGUUGUUGAAGCGAUGUCAAAGGUGGUUGAAAAAACUGGGUCUAACAGUCUAAUUAUGGAUUCAAGUUAUGGACAAGGGGCUUUGACGAAUCUCAGUGAGGUGGCUACCCUAGAUGUUUAAGAUAAAUUUCAGGCGUAAAGAGUCGAGAAGCGAGUGUAAGGGUGAUCCAAGAAUAAGGCUCGGUACUGGCUUAAGAAAUUCACUUUAGAGACUAUAUAGGGGUAUUGUGAUGCUUUUGGGACUAGUGUUAUUUUACUUGUAAUGGACAUUGUACAUUAAAUUUUGGAAUUUAAUUUUGGUGAUUUUAUAUUACUUUAAUACAUGAUUUUAUGUCUAA